GCCCCCCGCCCGCUCGGGUUCCGUUCAUCGGCGGCGCCACACCGCGAUCUCGGUUAUCCACGCCCCGGAGCCGCACCCUCGCACCGGCGACGCCGCUCUCAUCCUCCCGGAGCGCCCGGCGCCGCACCCUCCUCCCAACGGGAUCCCCUCUUCCCGGCGCCGCACCCUCCUCCCAACGGGGCGCUCCCUCCUUCCGGCGCCCCACCCUCCUCCCGACGGGGCUUCAUCCUCUCCCGAAGCGGUUUUCUUCCCCAGGUCGCGAUCCGUUUUGCUCCGCCAUUCCUCCCAUCGCCGAUCCGGGUACUGGCGCCGCCCGCGGCCGGUUGCUGGCCAACCCUUGCGUGUCCCCGCAUUCAACGCGACGCCGCUCAGUGCUCCCGUCGUUGUUCCACGAGACCGAUCCGUCCUCCCAUCGCCGUCGAUCCUCCUCAGCCUGCCUUCGGAUCAGGGUCAUGUAGCAGCACAUCCCCAAGUUUGCUAUCCCUCCCGUCACCGCGCACCGCCGUUUCCCGUCGAAUCUCCCGCAGGCCGCAGCAGGCACGUCUCCACUGCGCAAAGCUUAGACAUAAUUCCUUUUUUCUUCAAUUUUGCAGAAAGAUUUACUCUAGCUCCUGGGUGGCGGCGCUCAAUCUGAUGAAUCGCUGGGGAACCCCCGCUGGCUCAAGGUUUUCUAUCCGUCCACUUACCUCUCCCACUGGCGUGCAUGGCGAGUGCGAUGGCAACGGCCAGUGGCCACUGGUGGCUAAAGCUGCCUUGAUGCAUGUGUUAUGGAAGAUGAAACGUGAGGCAGCGGAGAGCUGGGGAUGCUAACGUUGAUUUGCUCUGCACCAUUCCUCCAACGUGGAGAUCAGCAACGAGGGCAGGAACAAGCUUUGUGUACUCAAAAGGGACUUCACUUUCCUGAAUUUCUGAAUGCUUCACUGAAUUUGAUUCAGAUUAUGUGUGGCACUGACCGUAAUGCCCCUCUUUAAAGUUUAGUGUAAAUAGUUGCCCCUAUAUGUCAUACUGAUUCAUAACCUUUCUGAUAUCUGAAACGUAUUUUUAAUUUUGUUACAACAAUUGGGCCACCUUAUAUGUAGUCGUAUAUACAACAUUAAAUUGAUUUAGUUGUGGUUAAUUGUGACUAAUCCCCCAAAGAGUUUUUUUAAUCUUUGUGUGGGUUUCCUUUUCAGAUGUAAUUGGAUGUACUGGUGCUGCUGCAUCUUAAGAUGGAAGUACUCAUGCCGGAUGGAAGAUAAGAGCAAGCAUGCUGUCAAGCCAAGAACAGCACAUCCUCAUCUACAUCCAUUUGAAUUUGAACGUCUGUAGUGUGAUCCUUCCUAAGAAUCCUAACCCA